rnacentral:lncRNA from 10 species
AUCCAAUGCAGAUAAAAAUCACUGGUAACCAAGUUCUGAAACAGAAUGGGGACUAAAAUUUGAAAAUCAAAUGGACUUGUUUGAAUAUUUGAAGAGCUUAAUUGUUCUGAUGCUUGAGGAAGUAAGUCUUAGCGCUUGUGUCAGACACUUGCCUUGACACUUGAAACGGAAUAUGUGAAGACCUGUACCUACAGGGAGUAUGCAUACAGAUUCUGAGGGCCUGGCAGAAAGAGGUACUCACUACUCCGCGUUCUACAGUAUAGCUGCCUAAGUAGAUUUUAGACUCCUUUCUCCCUUCUCAAAGAUACUGCCUCAAGCAAGAAAACAGAUUUAAUAGACCAAUGGAAUGAUUCUAAGCCAGAAAAUCUCAUGGGUAUGGAUAGUCUGUGAAACAGAAAAAAAAAAUGUAUUCAAACUUUUUUUCUCCUUGUGUUCUAAGUCAUAGUGUCAGUGUCAGAGGCAUUUGAACCAGAGCAACUCCAUCUUGAACAGGGGCCGGGUAAAAUAAGGCUGAGACGUACUGAGCUGCAUUCCCAGGAGGUUAGAUAUUCUUAGUCAGAGGAUGAGAUAGGAGGUCGGCACAGGUACAGGUCACAAAGACCUUGCUGAUAAAACUGGAUGUGGUAAAGAAGCUGGCCAAAACCCACCAAAACCAAGAUGGCAAUGAAAGAGACCUCUGGUCAUCCUCACUGUUCAUUAUACACUAAUUAUAAUACAUUAGCGUGUUAAAAUACACUCCUACCAGCUCCAUGGCAGUUUACAAAUGCCAUGGCAAUGUCCAAAAGUUACUCCAUAUAGUCUAAAAAGGGAAGGAACCCUCAGGUCUGGGAAAUCCCCUGCCCUUUCCCUGAAAAUUCAUGAAUAAUCCACCCCUUGUUUAGCAUAUAAUCAAGAAAUAACUGUAAGUAUACUCAGUUGAGUAGCUCAGUUGAGCAUACCAGUGCCCUGCCUAAGGAGUAGCCAUUCUUUUAUUCCUUUACUUUCUCGCUUUCACUUUACUUUCUUCCUUACUUGCUUUCACUUUACUCUGUGAACUUGCCCCGAAUUCUUUAAUGCGCGAGGUCCAAGAACCCUCUCUCGGGAUCUGGAUUGGGAUCCCUUUCUGGUAAAAAUAGUAUUGUGCCUGUUUUGUGAAGAGAGAAGGGAUCCAGAAGUGACUGCAUAGAAACAGCAGACAGGACAUCCCCACGGUUGAACUUUAAAUAAGAGUAAAAUGCAAAAGUUAAGUCUCGAAAAAUAAAGUGUUUUGCGCAUGGACUUGAUCAUAGUUUUUGUUACUAUGCCUUGGGUAAAGAGUUUUAAAAGAAUUUCCUUUUUGUCAAUCUUCCCUAAGAUACAGAAAUAGAAGUCUUUAGAGCAGAUGCUGUUUUUUUACUACUAUCAUAAACUAGCAACUGGUUUCAAAUAUGGUUUUUCCACUUCUGCUGUCUUUACAUUGUCAUUCACUUGUUUACUCAACUUUUAACAAACCUUUACAAAAUGCCUAUUCUGUACCAGCUACUAUGCUUGACACUAGGAAUAAAGAUAUAAAAAUCACUUUUUCUGCUCUCAAGGAACACGGUCUAUCAGGAUGGACAAACUAGUAAACACAAAUUAUAAUAUGGUAAAAUAUGUGCUAUGCUACUUCAAAAACAAAGUGCUAUGAAAGUAUGCAGAACAAAGACAAAGAAGUCAGGGAAUGCUUCCCAGAGCAGGUGAUGUAUGAUGUCCACACACUGAAAAACACUGGGUGGUGCUGGAUACCCAAAUGGGGGGCUUAAACUAAGAGACUUGUGGAGAUUUUAUUAAAAAGUGGACAGAUUUAAGAUAUACUACAGAGGUAGACUGGAUCAGAAGCAUCCUCACACUGGAUGUGUGGUUGAGGAAGAGGAUGGUGUCCAGGAUGACUGUUGGAAAUCUGCCUGGUGCAGCUGCAUAUCCAGAUUGUCAGUUACCAAGAUAAAGAAAGCCGAGGGAGGAUGAGUUUGUACAGGGUGCAGGGUGGAAAUCAGUUUAGUUCGAAUGUGCUGAGUCUGAGGUGCUAAUGAGACAGACAGGUGGAGGAGGGUCAGCUGGAUUUGAAGGCCAUGAUUUACAUGUGCAGCAACAAUGGAUUCCCAAAUAUGCCCGCUGCAAGAGACUUAGCUCCCCAAUCAGUCAGGGCAGCAUCAGGUAUGCAGGUGUCUCCUCUGGGUGCUGCGGAAGAGCAGAGUGAGAUGUGCUUUUUGUAGGUGGCAAAUCCCCAAAGAGGAAGGAAGAAAGGACUGGGACAAGCACCUUCAGCUUCUUCCAAGCUUACCAUCCUAUAAGCUACUCCUCUUUCCUGGAAGAGGAGAGUUUCCUGGUGGAGCCGGAAGCUGUAGACCCUUCCACUUGUAACAUCAAAGUAGAGAAAAGAAAUCCCCCUGAUGCCACACAUGCUUUUAAAUAAGAUGCAAUAAACUCUUUGCUUAUGAUCACAACAUAUGCCCUAGUAUUUUCCCGAUAACCUCGGCCAAUAAUUGGUUCUUAUGGCCCAUUCCAAGACACAUUGUUGCUAUGGCCCUUCUUCCCACAUCUAUUUCUCAGGCAGUGUCGCUUCCUUCUAACCCUGAUAUUGCUUUUAGCCUGAAAUAUAAAUUCUGUUUUGUAACUCUAAAUGCU